rnacentral:tRNA from 1 species
GCCUUUAUAGCUCAGUGGUAGAGCGUCGGUCUCGUAUGGUAAUAAUAGAAAACCAGAAAACCGAAUGUCGAGAGUUCAAUCCUCUCUGAAGGCA